GGGCGCUUGAGAGAACUCUGGUGAAGGAACUAGGCAAAAUAGCACCGUAACUUCGGGAGAAGGUGCGCUGCUGACGGUGAAGGCCUUGCGCCGUAAGCUGUUGGCAGCCGAAGUAACCAGGCCGCUGCGACUGUUUAUUAAAAACACAGCACUCUGCAAACACGAAAGUGGACGUAUAGGGUGUGACGCCUGCCCGGUGCCGGAAGGUUAAUUGAUGGGGUCAGCCGCAAGGCGAAGCUCUUGAUCGAAGCCCCGGUAAACGGCGGCCGUAACAAUAACGGUCCUAAGGUAGCGAAAUUCCUUGUCGGGUAAGUUCCGACCUGCACGAAUGGCGUAACGAUGGCGGCGCUGUCUCCACCAGAGACUCAGUGAAAUCGAAAUCGCGGUGAAGAUGCCGUGUACCCGUGGCUAGACGGAAAGACCCCGUGAACCUUUACUGUAGCUUCACACUGGACUUUGACAUGAUCUGUGUAGGAUAGCUGGGAGGCUUUGAAGUGGUGACGCCAGUUGCCAUGGAGCCGUCCUUGAAAUACCAGCCUGGUCCUGUCGGGGUUCUAACGUCGACCUGUUAUCCAGGUUACGGACAGUGUGUGGUGGGCAGUUUGACUGGGGCGGUCUCCUCCCAAAGAGUAACGGAGGAGCACGAAGGUGCGCUAAUCACGGUCGGAAAUCGUGAGGUUAGUGUAAAGGCACAAGCGCGCUUGACUGCGAGACAGACAAGUCGAGCAGGUACGAAAGUAGGUCUUAGUGAUCCGGUGGUUCUGUAUGGAAGGGCCAUCGCUCAACGGAUAAAAGGUACUCCGGGGAUAACAGGCUGAUACCGCCCAAGAGUUCAUAUCGACGGCGGUGUUUGGCACCUCGAUGUCGGCUCAUCACAUCCUGGGGCUGAAGCCGGUCCCAAGGGUAUGGCUGUUCGCCAUUUAAAGUGGUACGCGAGCUGGGUUUAGAACGUCGUGAGACAGUUCGGUCCCUAUCUGCCAUGGGCGUUGGAGAUUUGAGAAGAGUUGCUCCUAGUACGAGAGGACCGGAGUGAACGAACCUCUGGUGUACCGGUUGUCACGCCAGUGGCAUUGCCGGGUAGCUAAGUUCGGACGGGAUAACCGCUGAAAGCAUCUAAGCGGGAAGCCUCCUUCAAGAUGAGAUCUCCCUGGAGCUUCAAGCUCCCUAAAGGGCCGUCGAAGACUACGACGUUGAUAGGCGAGGUGUGGAAGCGUUGUGAGACGUUGAGCUGACUCGUACUAAUUGCCCGUGCGGCUUGACC
rnacentral:rRNA from 1 species